rnacentral:tRNA from 1 species
GCUCCGUUAGUGUAGUCCGGCCAAUCAUCUUGCCCUCUCACGGCAAGGACCAGGGUUCGAAUCCCUGACGGAGCA